CCGGAAGUGGCUGAUGACACCAAAAUUCCUGAAUUUCCGUGAUUUGGGAUCAAAGUAAACGCUCUGACACUUCCGGG
rnacentral:snoRNA from 1 species